UGUUGUCAAUGGUUUUUUUUUUUUUUUUGUUAAAAUAUCUCUAAACUUACUAUUAAAAUGCGAAGCUCUUUAGAGAUCUCUCCGAUAUGAUCUUUAUAGAGGAGUUAAUGCAUCUUUUUAAAAGCCAGAGUCAGCAAUUUAUCGAUAGAAAAUUCAUUUUAUAUUAUAUUAUUUCCAUCAACAGCUCUCUAGAUUCGAUUUAAAACAAACGAAAAAGAAACGUUUAUAGCUUUUGGUUGUUCAUUGUAUUUUUUUUUUCUUUUUUUCCUGCCGAAGGCCCACUGCGUAAAGAUUUAUGAGCACUUGGCCUUCUCUCGGUCAGGAGUAUUUAUUUGUUUAAUUGAAAUAAUAGACUAGAACACAUUGCCUCAAUGAAAUUCCUGAUUAAAUCCACUCGGCUGUUAAUGGAAUUUUGUUUAAAAAAAUUUUUAGAAGAAACAUAAAUCAUUACAUUAAUAGACAGACGUGUUUUACUCAUAGACACGCAUUGAAAUUCAUAGAAAAUAAUGAAAAAUUGGCGCAGUAACUCAACCAUUGUAAAGUUUGCUGGAUGUACACAGUUUUUUUAUUCGUUCGGGACGUAAUGUAUAUAUGUGGAAUAUAAUAUAAUAAUAAAAAUGGCGGAGAAAGGUUAUUUAUGGCCUUUCUUGACAAAACAAGCCAAAUUAAAAAGAAAAGUAGGGCUUAUUGCCGUUUCGGCGGUGGCCAACUCCAUAACAGUCAAUCUGUAUAAUAUUUUGCCCCGGGCAUUUUACGUAUUAGCCAACGGCCAUAAAGUCAGCAGCAGGUAUUGGUACCUGGUGCUGUUUCGACAGGCAAUAUACAGAUCUCUCAAUAUAACGAUGCUAGAUGCAGAAAUUCGAAUCUCGUAGCAUAAUGGACCAAAGUGAUGUUCUAUAUCACAGCACACGAAAAGCCAGGAACUGUCAAGCCAUUCUACUGACGGGAGUUCAAAGUUGCCAGAAGCUAUUACGUUGGCGAUAUCGGUGAAACAUUCGUGGAUAGUAAAAGUUUAGUGGUAAUAAACGCUUAUCUGUGAAAUACAGAGUAUAAUAUCUUUGCCGUCACUUCAGCUAGCUUACCAGACGCUUAUUUAAGGGCUAAAAUUUUUAAGAUUCACAUAAUGACCCAAUGCAAUCUCUUCUGUGUUCGAUGCUAAUCUUACGUUAACUUCUUUUCUUUCUGACUUCAAUAUCCAUUCUUUCAUUUGGCAGUAAAACAAUGUUCUACUCACGCCGAAUCACCCAAAAUUGAAGCUGUAAAUACACCGUCUGUCACUGGUUUUCAUCACUGUUUUCCCUGACAUUCAUCGACUAUACCGAAUAUCGAGAAUACGAGCAUCAGGACCAUCUUUGCUUAAAUUAAUUUCCAUCGAUAAAAUCCGUGUAGGUGCCGUUAUAAAUAUAAAAAAAAAAAAAACCCGAACUGUUUCUCAGUUACAACGUUUACUCGAACUCCUUUCAAUAUUUUAAAAUUUAAUAAAGAUUUUAGAAGCUUCAAGUUUUUCCGAAAGAAUAGUCCGUGAAACUUUAUGUUGCUUAAAAUAAAAUAUACAUGGG
rnacentral:lncRNA from 1 species